AGGAUAAGGCAUAGCCUAUCAUUGGACGAGAAGGAAGGGUAGGCGGGGAAAAGGCUAGGAAGGAGGGCAGAGGAGGAGUGAGAGAUCAAGAUGGAGUCUGCGAAGGAGGAUGGUUCAGAUUUGGGUGAACUAGAUGGAUUUUUAUCUUGUCUAGGUGGGCUGCUUAUAUCUUUAUAAAUUGGCAGUGAAUUUAUUGUGUAGAUGUAUUGUGGAUUGAGAAAUUAACGUGUAAAUCUAAUUGCUAAAUUACAACUUUCUGGAACUUUGACUUACCGGGUUAAAGAGGACGGUGUGUGAAAGAAAUGGCUGAGAGGCAGUUGGAGCGUGUGGAUCUGGUUCUGUUGCCACGCAGAGUGAGAACCGGCAGAACAAGAUGUGUGUGUGUGUCUGCCUGGCUCUACAAUAACUCCCUCCUUCUGCUUCUCUCCCUCCCUCCCUCCUUCCCUCCCUCCCUCCCUCCUUCCCUCCUUCCCUCGUUACUCUCUUCCUCCCUCCCUCCCUCCCUUUCCCCCUUACUUCCUCUGCCUGUGUCAAGGCUUUGGGUUUCCAGGAGGCAGGGCCUUAAAUGUACUUUGUAAUUAAGGAUGACCUUGAACAUUUGAUAGUCUCCCCACCUGGGUGCCACCACAUCAGUGCUGGGGAUAAAGCCUAAGAUGCCAUGCAUUCUACACAAGUCCUGUUACCAACUUAGUUAUAUGCCCGCUGCUAUGAUGCUUGAACAAGGACAUUUGAUGAGCUUUCAGAUUGAAGACACCAAUGUUCAGGGAAGAUGAUGUCCCAAGAAAAAGUGUGAAAACUACAAGACAGAUACACACACACCACACACACACACACACACACACACACACACAGGCACGCACGUAGGCACAAACACAAAUACACCCCUUAUAUUUGCUUUAUGCAACUCCAUUUGAGUAUUUCUGAAAUGCAUCCUUUGUUACACAGUAACAAUAGUAAAUAAAACAUUUUAUUGAGUUAUUUGUAUCUUCUAGUAACUUUUAGACCCUAAGGACUGGCAUGGGGGAAUCAUGGGACUUCCCCAACAUUGUAACCAAGUCAAAUGUAUCUAACACUUGUAUCAGCCUUCUGAAGUAGGAACAGUCAGUCAUGAGAAGGGUCCCCUCACCCAUAGGUUUCCCGUGCUGGAGUGAUACGUGAAUUGACUUGCUGGGUACUCUGUACAUUGAUGUCAUUAUGUAGGUGAAGGCAGGUACAGGAUAGAACAAGGCCUGUCAUUGGAUGAGAAGGAAAGAUGGGUGGGAGAAAAGUUUUAGAGAGGCUGAGGAGGCCAGAACGAGGAGGAAGGAGGGGAGAGAACAUGGCAGCGGAUGCUAAGAUUCUCUCUGCACAUAUUACAGGUUGUUAUGACUACUCUUAAGGGAUGGAAGGGUACAGGAUUUUGUGUUGUCUAGAUGGGCAAAUUAUAUAUUAUCAAUUGGAUCAGAGGAUAUUGUGUGAUAUGUUCUUUCAUGUGGCAUCUUAAUUGAGUUCAAGAGAGUGUGUGGCGGCCAGAUGCACCAGGCCUGCCACGGAUAUGUGUGCCUGGCAUGGUGGUAACCAGCCAAGAGAGCUGUGAGUGAGGGUGGGGCGGCCUGACAGGGUGCUGUGUUGGAAGGGCUCUUGGACUACGGGUCAGAAAGUAGAUGCGGGCAACGUGGAACCGCUGAGAUAAAUUAGCACUGGUUCCAAUGCUGGAGCAUGAGAGGGUGACCGGCCGCCAGGGUACCCUGGAACCGGUUCUGCCGCUUUUUUUUUUUUUUUUUAUUCUUUUUUUCGGAGCUGGGGACCGAACCCAGGGCCUUGCGCUUGCUAGGCAAGUGCUCUACCACUGAGCCAAAUCCCCAACCCCUCUGCCGCUUUUUUAUUUUUACCACAACAGUACCCAGUUACUGUAGAUGACUCGGAGAGCUGGAGAACUGACAUUGGAAAAGAGCAGCACUUGGUGUCAGAGAGGAGAGAAUACCUUAUAAAAUUAACAGUAACUCUUCUAGGCUCCUAACGCAGCUGCUAAAUCGCGUUAUUAAGUCUAAAUCUCUAGGCUUAAAAGGAUUACAGCAGAAUUGUUGAGGUUUUGUGGAGGAGAGAAAGGAAGAGAAACCGCCAUCAGAUAGAAGACCAACAUGCAGGAGAAGGGAGAGCCACCGUGGGUUAGCGGUGCCAUAAAAUGUGGCCUUGUGGGCUGUUCAGUGGGAGCUAGGAAUUGGCCCAGAUGAAACAUAAGAAGUAAUAAUGGGGUUACUGAUAGAAAGUAGAUUCUAACAGCAUGGAGGAUAGGCAGCUGCCCAGGUAUUGUGCUACUUCAGACAUAUUAAAAUACAAAGGGGGAGGGAUGCUGGAGAGAUGGCUCAGCGGUUAAGAGCGUUGUCUGCUCUUCCAGAGGUCCUGAGUUCAAAUCCCAGCAACCACAUGGUGGCUCACAACCAUCUGUAAUGGGAUCUGAUGCCCUCUUCUGGUGUGUCUGAAGACAGCGACAGUGUACUUACAUAUAAAUAAAUAAAUCUUUAAAAAAAAAUACAAAGCGGAGUGUGUGUGUGUGUGUGUGUGUGCGCGCACGCGCACGCACGUGCAUGUGCAUGCCUGCCUCUCAUCUGGAAACAUAAAUGGUCAAAAGCAGGAAGAAACCCCACACUGGGAUUUUUAAAAUAUUUUUACUACACAGAAUAAUAAAUGAAAAAAAUUAAGUAAAAUGCACAUUUUUUUGGUUAAAAAUAAAUGUAUCCCCCCGUGUUGAUAAGCCUGGAGAAAGGUCAUUAAGGAGGUUCCAGGGUAUUUUAAUUAUCAUUUUGCUGCUGUGAACAGACACCAUAACCAAGGUAAGUCUUAUAAAGAACAACAUUUGAUUGGAGCUGGCUUACAGGUUCAGAGGCUCAGUACAGUAUCAUCAAAGUGGGAGCAGGGCAGCUUCCAGGCUGGCAUGAGGCUAGAACAGCUGAGAGUUCUACAUUUUCACUCAAAGACAGACAGGAGAAGACUGACUUCCAGAUAGCUAGGAUGAGGGUCUUAAAGCCCACGCCCACUGUGACACAUUCUCCAACAAGGCCGCACCUACUCCAAGAAGGCCACACCCCCUAAUAGUGCUGCUCCUGGGCCAAGCACAUACAAACCACCACACAGGGUUCAGGUGUGUUGCCGAAGCCCGGGUUCUGCUGCUUCCGUAUUAACGUCUUCCUCAGACAGCAAGAGGGCUGCCAUGAACCAGGUCCAAAGCCCCAGGUUCAAAUUCAGCAAAGAGUUGCUGCUUCUCUCCCACAGAGAUAGCACUCUCUCUCCCAUCUAAAAUUAAUGAUUUACUUUAUGUGUAUCUGUGGGGAGCCAUGAGGCUAGCCCGGCCUAGCUGUUGUGGCAUAUUCUCCAGAGAAGACUGCUUACAUGGGUUUAAGCCAAGAGGAAGUCUUUACUAGCUGGCCAACAACUACACUGAAUGUUUGGGAAUCCCUGUAGGGCCAUGGGCCUUUCUCGGGAUGAGAUUUUUAAGCACAAAAAACAUAUUCUGGAUUGAUAUACCCCAGUUAACAAGAAGAGCCAGAAGCAGAACUAUAGAAGCUGAAAAGCAAGGUUAGUACAUUUAGAGACUUUGCCAGAACUGUGGUUGUUGAUGGAUUAGGCCUUUGCUUUAUUUUCGGCAGGCAGUGCUGUCUAUGUGCUGAGUUUUACGGCCUGAAUGGAAAUUCCAUCAUGGCGUCAGUUGUGUUAAGGUCUCAGGGCCCUGUUACAUAGCUGCCUGAGAGGUAUACCUUACAGGGUUUUCAGGUUAAGAUCUAUGGCCUUUAGGCCCUAUGUCCCUUUCAGUUCCUAAGAAACUAAGGCACUCCCUCAGGCAGUGAGGCAUUCAGACUGCUUUGUGCUUCUCUGCAUGUUCCCUUAAAAAUCAAGGAAACAAGGAAGCUUUGACAGGACAAUUGGUCUUAGACAUUAGUCUGUGUACUCUGUAGAGCUCGUAAAUGCCAUUACAUCCUGGUCACUGCAACUGUAUUGAUCCUGGCAAUUGCCACUAUGUUCUUUUUCUGAUAAGGAUAAAAAAAUCUGAUUGCUCUCAAUAGAAAUGGUCAUAGCCUCAAUCUUGCUCCAAAUGAGCCUGGUUUAAUUCCCUGACCAGCUGUAUCAGCUAACCUUGGCCAGAUAAGUAGGUGUGGAUGGAUGCCGGAGUGUAUGCAGUGUGCCUGAAGGUAGGUAUGUGCACUAUGUGCCUGCAGGAGCCCAAGAGGUUCAGAAGAGGGUGAUGGGUCCCCUUGAAAUUGGAGUUAUAGGGUAAUGAACAGUCAUGUGGGUGCUGGGGACUGGAUCCUGUGCAAGAGCAGUAAGUGGGCCUCUCAGCCAUCUCUGCGGUCCUCACUGCUUCUCCUAUGAUCCAUCUUCACCGAGCCACUUCCUAUGGCCAAGGGAAAGGAAUGUCCCGGCCCAGCCCUCCCUACAUCCAGUUUGGAAUUGUACCAGAGUGUUGGGAAUUGGUUCCAAUGCUUUGCCUUAUUUCGGCUCCCAAAGCUGCACUUCCAGACCUGAGGGUUCCUGCCCACCGCUGGCUUCAAUUCAUAAUAUAGAAUUGCUGUACGGCCAGUGGUUGGGCAAAAAAGACAGAGGAGGGACUUUUUUAGGUUUCACGGGCAAGGGACCAGGAGAGGGGAAAAGAAGAGGAAAAUUUGCCCUGAUUCGGUGGGAGAGGGAUGAGGUUUCAAGAGCUGCAGGAGAGAAAGCAUCCGACAGUGUAGGGGGAAAAGGAAUGCAGGCCCUGCUAUCAGGGCCAAAAAGAUAAAACACAGAUGUAGGUUGCAUCAGGAAAACAAGAGGAACACGUGUGCCAGCCACGGCAAGGUUUAGAAAUGUCCAGCCAUCGAGCUAUCAAGACAUAUCAGAAUUAGCGCUCUCUCUCUCUCUCUCUCUCUCUCUCUCUCUCUCUCUCUGUGUGUGCGUAUGUGUGUAUGUGUGUGAAUAUGUGUAUGUGUGUGUAUGCGUGUAUAUAUGUGUGUGUAUGUGUGUGAAUAUGUGUAUGUGUGUGUAUGCGUGUAUAUAUGUGUGUGUAUGUGUGUGAAUAUGUGUAUGUGUGUGUAUGCGUGUAUAUAUGUGUGUGUAUGUGUGUAUGUGUGUGUAUGUGUGUGCGUAUGUGUGUGUGAAUAUGUGUAUGUGUGUGUAUGUGUGUGCGUAUGUGUGUGUGAAUAUGUGUAUGUGUGUGUAUGUGUGUAUAUAUGUGUGUGUGAGUGUGUGUAUGUGUGUAUGUGUGCUGGAAGUCUAUAUGGACACGGUAUACCUCUCCUAUAUGUAUUAUUGCUUCCCUUUGAAUAAAGUCACCUUUCUUUUUUUUUUAAAAGAUUUAUUCAUUUAUUAUAUAUAAGUACACUGUAGCUGUCUUCAGACACACCAGAAGAGGGCAUCCGAUCUCUUUACAGAUGGUUGUGAGCCACCAUGUGGUUGCUGGGAAUUGAACUCAGGACCUCUGGAAGAGUAGUUGGGUGCUCUUUUUUUUUUUUUUUUUUUUUUUUUGCUUCUUUUUUUCGGAGCUGGGGACCGAACCCAGGGCCUUGCGCUUCCUAGGCAAGCGCUCUACCACUGAGCUAAAUCCCCAACCCCGUAGUCGGGUGCUCUUAACCACUGAGCCUUCUCUCCAGCCCUAAAGUCACCUUUCUACUGCUGUAUUUGUGUGAGCUCUUAUUUCAUUCCUGUGUAUUCUUCGGGAAUCUUAGUGUUGUGGCUCAUUGAGGCUUUUCUCUUUUAAGAUUUAUUUUAUGUAUGAGAGCUCUCUCUGCAUGGACACGUGCACACCAAAAGAGGGCAUCAGAUUCCACUACAGAUGACUGCAAACCACCAUGUGGUUGCUAGGAAGGAACUCAGGACCUCUGGAAGAGCAGCUGGUGCUCUUAACCACUGAGCCAUCUGCCCAGCCCCCCUUCUAGUUUCUUAAUGUAUUUAUUUUCUUGUUUGUGUAUGUUGGGAGCGAUGCCCUUGAAGCCCUCCAUUGUUGAUGUUAAAAUUAAGUAUGAUUAGGUUCAUGGAAAAUCCCCAGCCAGCUGCAGAAGACUAAUACAAAUCUGGUGGUCAAGAAAAAUAAUAAGGGGGUUGGGGAUUUAGCUCAGUGGUAAAGCGCUUGCCUAGCAAUCGCAAGGCCCUGGGUUCGGUCCCCAGCUCCGAAAAAAAAAAGAAAGAAAAAUAAUAUGAUAAAGUUGUCCUGCUGACUAAUAAUAUGACAAAUCUGUGACCUUUCUGACAACCUGUCAACAUCAGCCUACUCCCUGACCUCACGAAUAUUGUGUCCUUGACUUGUGUAAAUGUUUCUUACUUCCCCCCUCCCUCUGUUACCCAUGUUAUGGUAUAAAUUCAGCCUUGGGGAAAAAUAAAGUUGUCGCCUUGAUCAGACUCUUGUCUUGGCGUCCUUCUUCGUGUCUCUUGUCCCCUAUUCUCUUCCAGGUAUACCUCCUGGGCCCUUCGCUUACAAAUGGCGCCCAACGUGGGGCUGUUUGGAGGUCUCCUGGAGGAGAACGUCGUCCCCCGUGAAUAGGCAGAACUGUCUUCCUUGUUUGUCAGAGCCUUUGCUCCCCCGCUUCUGGCAACCAUGGACUGCCCGACCUUUGUUCAGAGGCUUGGUGUGUGUUUCUCCCCGGACGACGCAGAUCUCAGUGGUUGCCUCUCCCUGCUUGGAUGAGCAACCCCACGUACGUGGAUUAAAAACCUUACACCCUCAUGCUAUUGCAUCGGUCACUUUGUCAAUCUGUGCUCUGUGGGUGGUGCUCCUGAGGUUAGGCCACUAUGGGGUCUUACAACAUUUUGGUGCACCUGCCGGGAACUGCACUCCCCCCCCAGACUACAACUGGUGAGGAGAUCGGAGGUAAGCUCGAGCAAAUCUGUGUUUUGUGUUCUGUGUUACUUUCUGUUUUGUCUCUGUGUCAUGUCUCGUCUUUGUUUCAUGUUGUCUUGUGUUGUCCAUGUCUGCUGUCUGAAGGGCUCGAGUCCCCUGCCCCCUGGAGAGGGGUUAGAGUCCCCUCGGUGGUCGCUAUUGGUCCUGUAAGGGGCUUACAGCUGUGAGAGGCGGAUGUGCUAGUUGUCACAGGCCACAGGCUCUAGAAGAUGCUCUAGGAGGAGAAAGGAAUCUUGAGGACACUCUGGAAUCCCAUUGGGAGGUGGGAUCAGAUGGUCCACCUCAUCCCAGAAGUAGCUAAGGUUAAGCUGCAGUUUUGGGCCAGGUACUGAAAGGUAUCAAGCAUCUGUUAGGACGCCUUCUCUUGGUCUUGUUUGUCUAGUUAGUUCUGUGGUAUUGUCAAGUGUCUUUUUGGCUUUUGUUUCAUUUUUGGACUUGGACUGAUGACUGUGUUUGAACUCAUGGAACUGUUUGCUUUGUUUGUCAAGGAGUUUUACUUGGUCCUCUUGGUGCUUAACUUGGAAAUAAUUUGCUUGAGAGAAAUUGUUUUCUCCCCAUGGAGUUUUGUCUUUCUCUCUUGAGCCUCCACCCCAAGGAGAGAUGCCCCUCCUUUUGAUCCCCUUGCCCUGGAAAAAGAAAAAUUCCAGUUACUGCCUUCAGUGGCCAGACCUUCAACACUUGCUUACAGAAGGAGAGCGUUCAUUAAGAGAAGUUCUUUGAGGGAGCCUGCCUUAUCUGCUGGCCCUAUUCCAAGAGAGGAGUCGGUCUCCAGCAUUAAGUCACCUUCCCCAUCAGUCAUCACUGACAUAGAGAAUGCCUCUGAUCCUAUCCCUGCAACAGUCAGUUCCUGCCCCUGUGGUCAAAAUGCCCCAGGUUGGGGGGCAGGAGAGCCCCUAAAGUAAUUUCAGAAAGAGUCAGCAGCAGACUUCGAGGAACUUUGUUUUGCCAGACAGAACAGGCUUUACUCUAGGAUGAUAAGAAGAGAAAGUCUUGGCAUGGGCUCUUCAGCUUACUCCAACUAGAGGCUGUGGGCAAGGUCAGGAUCAAUGUUUUCUUCUCCAUGGACCUCUAACAUAGUGAGAUGGGUUGGUGAAGGACUGCUACUGAAGUCCUGGAAUUCAGGGUCUGUAGUUCUAUUAAAGGUCAGUAUUCCAGUGUUAGCAAUCUCUUUAUUGUAUAUAAGAGGCAGGAAGCCCCACUCAACUGUGACCCCUGCCUCAGGAAUGGCAGCGGAAAGAGUCCUUAUGACCAGUUAUCUCUAACUAUAGCUUGCUCUCUGAUACCUGAGGCUUUAAUCGGAUCACACCCCCCUGGGCGAGCCUCCUUCGAUACUCAGAUGCUAUUUUCUCCUGGUCUUUUGGCUCUAGGUUGCCAGGCAUGUCUGACAGCCUGGAAGAAACUUCCCCCCAAAAUCAGGUGAACCAUACUAUUCUUUUAUCAGCCACUUGGCAUCUAGUACCCAGGUCCCAACCAUCUCUCCACCCUUUUGUUAUUAGUUCUUACUGGAAGCCUAGUGUCCUUCAGAGGCUGGGUCUCUUGAGAGGCAGAGCCACCCAGCUGACACUGAAGGGAGGUGCUCCUUAAGGAGAAUCUAAGUCCAGAGAGACUGCCCGUAACAGAUUCCAGCUGCCCCUCUGCUCGCCUUUUUGUUUCACAGGCACAAAGCUUGCGCUCGUUUUUGCACUGACCUUUUUGUCCCAAGAAAGCUUUCUCGUUUAGCUGUGUGACUGAAUGCUACUUGUCACCUGAUCUGGUUGUUCCAGCAGCUCUCACUGGGCCACUCACUAGCUUUCUUGCCUGGUCCCUUUCCCCUGUUCUUAAGAAUUUUAUCACCUAAUACACUGUGUUGUUUGACUUAUAAUACCUCCCGUCCUGCUAAUAUGCAUGUCCCAGAUUCCCGUUGUGAAGGUUCUAAUUCUAAAACAAGGGGAUGGUGCAUCCCCCUAAAUAUUAAAUUUACCUCUGCGGUUUGAAACCUGGAUUGGACACGUGGAUAUACUUUACUUGGGGUCUCUAGAAUGUUUCAAUCAGGUGCCAAUACAGGGAUUAUAUUUACCAUAAAACUGUUAAAAGAGGGGCUGGAGAGAUGGCUGGGGUUGGAGAGAUGGCUCAGUGGUUAAGAGCACCAACUGCUCUUCCAGAGGUCCUGAGUUCAAUUCCCAGCAACCACAUGGUGGCUCACAACCAUCUGUAAUGGGGUCUGAUGCCCUCAUCUGGUGUGUCUGAAGAUGGAUAUAGUGUACUCAUACGCAUAAAAUAAAUAAAUAAAUCUUUUUAAAAAAUUGUUAAAAGAACCUGGACAUUCUUACUCCUCUGCUUCUGGGCACUGAUCCAAAGAAGGAGCCCAGGGAGGCACUGAACUUGGUGCGGGGCACACACAACUUCAUCUACAGCCUGCACUCCACCGAGAGGAGCUGCUUGCUCAAAGAACUGCACCGCUUCGAGUCCAUUGCCAUUGCACAAGAAAAACUGGAAGCUCUGCCACCCACUCCAGGACGCUGAGAUAUGUGUUCUUCUACAAUGCGAUACCUUUCGCAGGGUUUGGCUUUUUGUAUCCAAUUAUGAUUGUUUUUUUUUUUUUUCCCCAGAGCUGGGGACCGAACCCAGGGCCUUGUGUUUGCUAGGCAAGCACUCUACCACUGAGCUAAAUCCCCAACCCACAAUUAUGAUUGUUACAGGAACCCAAAUUGAAUUGUCUAUUAGAUUUAUUUUGAGAAUGUCAACAACGGCAGUCAACAUGUGAUCUUUUCCUUCUAUGUAUCAACAUAUUAUUUAACUUUCAGUCAUUGAUACUGUACUGUACUGAGUUGGGGUUUGCUUAUUUCUUACAUAACAUGCACGGGAUAUCUAUGCAUGUCUUUAUUUUUUUUUCUCCUGAUGGUUAUAACUCAAUGCUGAGGUUUCUCCAAAGUAUUUAAGAUGUUUAAUAUCAGUUAAAAUUGUAAUUCCCUGAGGGGCUGGGGAUUUAGCUCAGUGGUAGAGCGCUUACCUAGGAAGCGCAAGGCCCUGGGUUCGGUCCCCAGCUCCGAAAAAAAGAAAAAGAAAAAAAAAUUGGUCUCUGUUGGACCCCCUAGUAGGCCUUCUUUUGGUUAUAUCUUUUGGCCCUUGGACAUUUAAUCACUUAACCAGCCUUGUUAAAUAACAGGUAGAUAAUAUAGCAGCAAAACCUAUUCAGGUAUAUUAUCAUAGGCUAGCUAUGGAGGAUGCUUUGAUGAUGGCCAAGCUCACCUACACAUCUCCUCCCAGCCCAGGCAAGGACAUUUUUGUCCUUCAUCCGAAUGAGGCCAACAUUCUUUUCUGCCUGCUGUCCUGAUGCCUUUGCUGAAAAAUCAAGGAAUUGUCACCCCUGCGUGCUGAGCUGGACAGUCAAUGACGAGUAAGAGAGUGAUAUAUUCAUGAAUAAAGGGCCUAAGACAGGAGGGCCGCCAUUAGCUGCCGCCUUAUCCCAUGACGGACCCUGGCCAUAAGAUCCUCUUUUUUUAUUUUUUUUCUUUUUCUUCUUUUUCUUCUUCUUUUUCCUCUUCUUCUUCCUUCUCCUUCUCCUUCUCCUUCUCCUUCUCCUUCUUCUUCUCCUUCUUCUUCUUCUUCUUUUUCCUUUUUCUUUUUUUCGGAGCUGGGGACCGAACCCAGGGCCUUGUGUUUGCUAGGCAAGUGCUCUACCACUGAGCUAAAUCCCCAACCCCCACAAGAUUCUCUUGACCAUGUGACAAAUAUCACUCCAACCUAAGACAGACACAGUUCCCGAGGGGCUCAUUCCAAGACAGCAUGGCCAUUUGGCCACCUUUUCAUUUGACUAUAAGGAAGGGGGAGAUGUUGGGAGCGAUGCCCUUGAAGCCCUCCAUUGUUGAUGUUAAAAUUAAGUAUGACUAGGUUCAUGGAAAAUCCCUAGCCAGCUGCAGAAGACUAAUACAAAUCUGGUGGUCAAGAAAAAUAAUAAUAUGAUAAAGUUGUCCCGCUGACUUAAUAAUAUGACAAACCUGUGACCUUUCUGACAACCUGUCAACAUCAGCCUACUCCCUGAAUAUUGUGUCCUUGGCGUGGGUAAAUGUUUCUUACUACUCUCCUCUCUCUGUUACCCAUGUUAUGGUAUAAAUUCAGCCUUGAGGAAAAAUAAAAUUGUCACCUUGAUCAGA